AGCGUACACGGUGGAUGCCCUGGCAGUCAGAGGCGAUGAAGGACGUGCUAAUCUGCGAUAAGCGUCGGUAAGGUGAUAUGAACCGUUAUAACCGGCGAUUUCCGAAUGGGGAAACCCAGUGUGUUUCGACACACUAUCAUUAACUGAAUCCAUAGGUUAAUGAGGCGAACCGGGGGAACUGAAACAUCUAAGUACCCCGAGGAAAAGAAAUCAACCGAGAUUCCCCCAGUAGCGGCGAGCGAACGGGGAGCAGCCCAGAGCCUGAAUCAGUGUGUGUGUUAGUGGAAGCGUCUGGAAAGGCGCGCGAUACAGGGUGACAGCCCCGUACACAAAAAUGCACAUAUUGUGAGCUCGAUGAGUAGGGCGGGACACGUGGUAUCCUGUCUGAAUAUGGGGGGACCAUCCUCCAAGGCUAAAUACUCCUGACUGACCGAUAGUGAACCAGUACCGUGAGGGAAAGGCGAAAAGAACCCCGGCGAGGGGAGUGAAAAAGAACCUGAAACCGUGUACGUACAAGCAGUGGGAGCCUCUUUAUGGGGUGACUGCGUACCUUUUGUAUAAUGGGUCAGCGACUUAUAUUCUGUAGCAAGGUUAACCGAAUAGGGGAGCCGAAGGGAAACCGAGUCUUAACUGGGCGUUAAGUUGCAGGGUAUAGACCCGAAACCCGGUGAUCUAGCCAUGGGCAGGUUGAAGGUUGGGUAACACUAACUGGAGGACCGAACCGACUAAUGUUGAAAAAUUAGCGGAUGACUUGUGGCUGGGGGUGAAAGGCCAAUCAAACCGGGAGAUAGCUGGUUCUCCCCGAAAGCUAUUUAGGUAGCGCCUCGUGAAUUCAUCUCCGGGGGUAGAGCACUGUUUCGGCAAGGGGGUCAUCCCGACUUACCAACCCGAUGCAAACUGCGAAUACCGGAGAAUGUUAUCACGGGAGACACACGGCGGGUGCUAACGUCCGUCGUGAAGAGGGAAACAACCCAGACCGCCAGCUAAGGUCCCAAAGUCAUGGUUAAGUGGGAAACGAUGUGGGAAGGCCCAGACAGCCAGGAUGUUGGCUUAGAAGCAGCCAUCAUUUAAAGAAAGCGUAAUAGCUCACUGGUCGAGUCGGCCUGCGCGGAAGAUGUAACGGGGCUAAACCAUGCACCGAAGCUGCGGCAGCGACGCUUAUGCGUUGUUGGGUAGGGGAGCGUUCUGUAAGCCUGCGAAGGUGUGCUGUGAGGCAUGCUGGAGGUAUCAGAAGUGCGAAUGCUGACAUAAGUAACGAUAAAGCGGGUGAAAAGCCCGCUCGCCGGAAGACCAAGGGUUCCUGUCCAACGUUAAUCGGGGCAGGGUGAGUCGACCCCUAAGGCGAGGCCGAAAGGCGUAGUCGAUGGGAAACAGGUUAAUAUUCCUGUACUUGGUGUUACUGCGAAGGGGGGACGGAGAAGGCUAUGUUGGCCGGGCGACGGUUGUCCCGGUUUAAGCGUGUAGGCUGGUUUUCCAGGCAAAUCCGGAAAAUCAAGGCUGAGGCGUGAUGACGAGGCACUACGGUGCUGAAGCAACAAAUGCCCUGCUUCCAGGAAAAGCCUCUAAGCAUCAGGUAACAUCAAAUCGUACCCCAAACCGACACAGGUGGUCAGGUAGAGAAUACCAAGGCGCUUGAGAGAACUCGGGUGAAGGAACUAGGCAAAAUGGUGCCGUAACUUCGGGAGAAGGCACGCUGAUAUGUAGGUGAAGCGACUUGCUCGUGGAGCUGAAAUCAGUCGAAGAUACCAGCUGGCUGCAACUGUUUAUUAAAAACACAGCACUGUGCAAACACGAAAGUGGACGUAUACGGUGUGACGCCUGCCCGGUGCCGGAAGGUUAAUUGAUGGGGUCAGCGCAAGCGAAGCUCUUGAUCGAAGCCCCGGUAAACGGCGGCCGUAACUAUAACGGUCCUAAGGUAGCGAAAUUCCUUGUCGGGUAAGUUCCGACCUGCACGAAUGGCGUAAUGAUGGCCAGGCUGUCUCCACCCGAGACUCAGUGAAAUUGAACUCGCUGUGAAGAUGCAGUGUACCCGCGGCAAGACGGAAAGACCCCGUGAACCUUUACUAUAGCUUGACACUGAACAUUGAGCCUUGAUGUGUAGGAUAGGUGGGAGGCUUGGAAGUGUGGACGCCAGUCUGCAUGGAGCCGACCUUGAAAUACCACCCUUUAAUGUUUGAUGUUCUAACGUUGACCCGUAAUCCGGGUUGCGGACAGUGUCUGGUGGGUAGUUUGACUGGGGCGGUCUCCUCCUAAAGAGUAACGGAGGAGCACGAAGGUUGGCUAAUCCUGGUCGGACAUCAGGAGGUUAGUGCAAUGGCAUAAGCCAGCUUGACUGCGAGCGUGACGGCGCGAGCAGGUGCGAAAGCAGGUCAUAGUGAUCCGGUGGUUCUGAAUGGAAGGGCCAUCGCUCAACGGAUAAAAGGUACUCCGGGGAUAACAGGCUGAUACCGCCCAAGAGUUCAUAUCGACGGCGGUGUUUGGCACCUCGAUGUCGGCUCAUCACAUCCUGGGGCUGAAGUAGGUCCCAAGGGUAUGGCUGUUCGCCAUUUAAAGUGGUACGCGAGCUGGGUUUAGAACGUCGUGAGACAGUUCGGUCCCUAUCUGCCGUGGGCGCUGGAGAACUGAGGGGGGCUGCUCCUAGUACGAGAGGACCGGAGUGGACGCAUCACUGGUGUUCGGGUUGUCAUGCCAAUGGCACUGCCCGGUAGCUAAAUGCGGAAGAGAUAAGUGCUGAAAGCAUCUAAGCACGAAACUUGCCCCGAGAUGAGUUCU
rnacentral:rRNA from 1 species